rnacentral:lncRNA from 1 species
UGGAGAGAACCUUACACAUUUCACGAGUAUGGAAAGACCUUUGCUCAAAAUUCAGCCCUUGUAAUGCAUAAGGCAAUUCAUACUGGAAAGAAACCUUACACAUGUAAUGAAUGUGGCAAGGUUUUUAGUAGAAAAGCACACCUUGCAUGUCAUCAUAGACUUCAUACUGUCUAAGGUUUCUAAUCAACAAUCAAACCUUGCACAACAUCAGAGAGUUUAUACUGGAGAGAAACCUUACAAGUGUAAUGAGUGGGGCAAAGCCUUAAGUGGGAAGUCGUCACUUUUUUAUCAUCAAGCAAUCCAUGGUGUAGGGAAACUUUGCAAAUGUAAUGAUUGUCACAAAGUCUUCAGUAAUGCUACAACCAUUGCAAAUCACUGGAGAAUCCAUAAUGAAGACAGAUCUUACAAGUGUAAUAAAUGUGGUAAAAUUUUCAGACAUCGAUCAUAUCUUGCAGUUUAUCAGCGAACUCAUACUGGAGAGAAACCUUACAAAUAUCAUGACUGUGGCAAGGUCUUCAGUCAAGCUUCAUCCUAUGCAAAACAUAGGAGAAUUCAUACAGGAGAGAAACCUCACAAGUGUGAUGAUUGUGGCAAAGUCUUGACUUCACGUUCACACCUCAUUAGACAUCAGAGAAUCCAUACUGGACAGAAAUCUUACAAAUGUCUUAAGUGUGGCAAGGUCUUCAGUCUGUGGGCACUCCAUGCAGAACAUCAGAAAAUUCAUUUUUGAGAUAACUGUUCCAAAUACAGUGACUAUAGAAGAUCAUAAAGCUUUAAUUGACAUUAGAGCCAAAUAGGCAUUGACUUGAGAUUGAGUUGACUUAACCUUGAGUUUAAGAAUUAAUUUACAUUAAAGUGUUUAUGUUAAGAAGAUUGGGCCAGGUGGGAUUACAGGCGCGAGCCACCGCGCCCGGCCCCUAAGUUAAUAUUUCAAACAAUCGAAGGUAAAACAACAUAUUGUGUUGGGCCACCUGUACUGAACGCUGAAUCGUUUUUCCUCUUAAGUUGAAAAUGGUUUUAAUGCAAAGCGCCUUUUUUGAGCAGGUAGAGUCACGCAUCCGGCAGGCGGGGCGAGCUCCCCUCUGUCUGGGGCAGGGUGGGGGAGAGGGGCAGGGACCUCGGUAAAGGGGUGGAGUGGCGCGCUGGUUGCCGCGGGCACUGGCAAUUAGAAGGGAUUAUUAAACUAAGCAAGGUCCUGGGUUGUUUGAGUGGAUAAUGGAAACUGAAAGGUGACGUGCAAAACUGCCUAUUACUCCCAGGAGUGGAGGAUAAUUUCAUAUUUCAUGGAAAUAAACUCAGGGCCCGGAGCGGUGGCUCACACCUGUAAUCCCAGCACUUUGAGAGGCCAAGGAGGGAGGAUCGCUUAAGCCCAGGAAUUCGAAAUCAGCCUAGGCAACAUAGUAAGACCUCAUCUCUACUAAAAAUAAAAAAAAACAGCCAGGUGUGUUAGUCCACACCUGUGGUCCCAGCUGCUUGGGCUUCCCGAGUAGCUGGGAUUACAGGUAUGAACCACUAUGCCCGGCUAACUUUGUUUUUUUUUUUUAGAAAUUAAACCUUUUUUCAGCUUAAUGACCCAGGGGUGUAUUUUUGAAGGACUUGGGAGCUCUCUUUGAAAGGCAAACAACAAGGGAAACAGUACCUUUAUCUCAGUAGGAAAUUAAAUAAUUCAAACAUCAAAUAACUUCAAUUUAAGGCUAUGGACUUUGAGAUAAUUCUGAGCCUUGAGAGGAAUGUGGUCAGGCAACCUGAGUCCAGUGGAAUGCAGGUGCAACUUCUAAGAGUUUUCCUGUAAGUAAUUAAGAAGACUAAGUAGCCCCAGAGAUAAGACCUCCUCGGAUCAUUGUCCCUUCUUAUGUAGUGAUAAAGUAACCUUCCUUGAAGUGUAUCUAUCCGUAAUCAAUCAAGUUGCUGCAGCCUAUGCACUGGCCCAGAAUAAAAAACGUGGUGAUUCUGCUAAAGCUUCUCUGUCUUUCCCUGUGUGUGAAAUCUUAACGUCUCUACUUGGGAACGCUGAUCCCAUUCAUUUAGAGUUGAUGUUUCCACGUGGCUAUUUCCAAGCUUUGCCUUCAAAUAAAUUCUGUACUUAAUCAUAUAUUCUAAAUUUUAUUAUUUACUGCUGACAUCAGUUUCUGUCGGAUUGUAGGAGCCUCACCAGAGAGGGCCCCUGUCGCCAUGUUGUAAAACUCACACUUGCCAAAAGUUGUGGGUUAGGGUUUCUCCCCCUCCCUCAGGAUGACGCUAGUUAGCUGACACAGAUGGUCACCUCCAUUACCAAGUAGAGUCAGGAUGAACUAUGUGUGACUGUUCAACUAUGUGUCCUCUUCCCUGAGGACUGAUUAGUGUUUAUCUUGAAAACAUGUCCUUAAUGGGUUGUAUAGAACACUGAAGCAUCUGAUUUCAAACUCUUAGCUCUUUUCCUCUAUUUCCCAUCACAUUCUGGUCUAAGGCUUAUUUAUUAAUAAAAUGAUUUUUAUUUCUUUAUUA